AGCUCCCAUUUUAUAGUAGGCAAAAGCACCAUGCCCAUUCUCUUCAAUAAUUCCCCUACAUAUUCACACAAUACAAAAAAGCGAUUGUUCUGUUGUAACACAAUACAUGACAUGGUAAUGCGUUCAAGGUUUCCAACUGGGGAA